rnacentral:misc_RNA from 1 species
AAGUCGUAACAAGGUUUCCGUAGGUGAACCUGCGGAAGGAUCAUUAACACGUUGAACACGUUUCUCCCACCCUCUGUGAACUUAUUCUCCCUACUCGGACACUGCUGUGCCGCCCUUCGUUAGUGAUGGGUGAACAGUUCUUAACCGGCUGUUCGCGACGAGGUGACACUGCUGGGCCUUUCGAGCCCAGGGCAGUUCCGUGGUAGGCUCUUUCUUUUCCAUCACUGUUUCCCCAAACCCUUUUCACCCCCAAACUCAUCUUGACUGAUGUCCUUAUGCAAGAGAAAUCUUUGGCAUAAGCAAGUUAUUCAAACUAAGCACAACUCUUAGCAAUGGAUAUCUUGGUUCUC